CAUGCUUCACCAUCAUCUUCGUGUCCUUUUUAUGUUAAGAGUUUCAAAACUGAAAGUGUAAUAUGAUGUAAAGAAUACCUUGGCCAACUGAUUUGUGUUUUUUUUUAUGAUGAUCUUCCAUUUAGACAGUAGAGGUCACAUUGUAAGUCGGAUGUCAACGGACUGGUAAACGGGUUGCAGGUCUCAACGUUCUCAUCAGUUGCAAGGCCUUUUUUGGCUCAACCUGUGUCCAGCAGGCUGGUCUUUGGGCAUAACUGAUGGCUUUGGUGGUGAGUGAUCCAUGCUGUGGUUAUUUCAGACAAGAAAUAAGUGAACGGUGAAGACUACUUCUCAAGUUCUCAUUAUAUAGAAGAAAACAACUGCAGCAGGUACCACCACUACCCAUUUUUUUAGGAACUGGGCAGUUAAAUCCACCACUACUCAUUUUUUUAGGUGCUGAACUGCCAAAAACAUGGACAGAAAAACUGCUCAAACGUGGGAUGGUGCUGAUUGCAAGCAUUAACUGAAUUUGAGAGCACUACCAGGUUUCUAGGAGACUGAGUUGUGGGGAUAAUGGGCAGAGAAAGAUGGAAAUAACCACCUGCUAAGGGAACCGCAAACAACUGGUCAGAAUUGCCACAACAGCAGUUUUUUUUUUUUAGUUUAAAGGGCUGAGAUUUAAUCUCAGCAAGAUUCAAUGGUCAAGAUUUUUUUGAAAGUUAGUUAGACUUAAUGGGUUCCAUAUAUAUAUAUAAUUAGUUUGCCCGUAUGUCAUGGGCCGAUACCAUCCA